rnacentral:lncRNA from 10 species
CUGAGCCACUGGCUGUGCCCCUGAGCUGAGCUGGGGCUUACAAUUAAGUCCAUACCCCCGCCUCCCGCCUGGCUUUCACUUCCUUGCUUUUGGAGAGAAGAUGAAUGGAAAUGUAUGACUUUGUCUGUGGUAUAAAGACAUGGAUUCAAGUUCAGGGUUUGCCAUGGACCUGCCGUGUGACCUUUGGAAGGUCCACAGAAAACAUCCUGGGGUCCUGAGCUGAAGUGUGAUGGGAGGAGUCCUCUGUAUCUCAGUCUGAUCCUGGUCUCCCUCUCGGCCAUGGUCUCACACUAGUGCUGCUGGGAAACCAUCCCUCACAUCCAGUCCUGGCAUCGGGCAGUGACUCUGGUCCAACUGUUGUCCAACUCAAGGGUUUAGCUGCUUAGAUUUUCCUAAAACUUGAAUUUCAUUUUCCUCUAGCCAUGGAAUACAGAUUAAUCCUUUACAAUUAAAAUCCAAGUUCAGAUUUUAUUUGUUGUGGUUUUUAAUUAAAAUCUCACCAGCACUUUGUGGAUUUUUUUUUUCUUAGAAAGGCAAACACACUGUGCGUAUCAGUCAGCCUGGACUGCCAUCACAAAAUACCAUAGACUGUGUGUCUUAAAACAACAGAAAUGUAUUUUCUCACAGUUCUGGAGGCUGGAAGUUCAAGGUCAAUGUUCUGGAUGAUUUGGUUUCCAGUGAGGCCUCUCUUUCUUGCUUGCAGAUGGCUGCCAUUCUUCUGUGUCCUGUAGGGAAGUUCAAACUUUUCCUCUGAAGGUUUGAACAAACUGACAAUAUGCAGACUAAUAGGAGGAAGAAAGGCAUUCAAAGUUGCUAAUGUGCAUAAGCACAAGGCCACAGAAAAUAUGAGAUUCAAAG